GUUCUAGAAAAGUCCAUCACUUGAAUCAGAUUCGCUAUUCCCAGAUCCAAAUUCCCAAUAAUAGUAAUUUAUUCAAGACUGCGAUGAACAUACAAUACAUAGCAUUCAGAGGCAGGGGCAGCUGCGGUUGUGGUCGUGGUGGGCUACCUAGGCCGAAGGAACUACCUUUCGAUCUUUUUCUGGAAAACGAGUGUUUAGGAGCUGUGAAUUACACAAAGAAGAAGUAAGAAAGUAUUCUUAGUUACUGAAUUAGUCACAUAACUUACAGACCUUUUUCGAGACAUAUUAGAGUAAGUUUCCCCUAUCCAUUCCAUCCAUUCUUUGUUUUUUAAUUGGCACUUUGCUAUCUAAAUCUAUCUGUUGAUGGAAAUUUCUGCCAUGAUCCGAGUUAAGAUUUUGGGACUUUGUAUGAUAAUUUGGAUGAUUAAUGCUUAUCAAUUUUGUAUAAGAAGACCUGAUGUGAGUAUUUUUCAUUGAUAAGGAGACAUGAUA